GUGCUCACUUUGGCAGCACUAAAAUUGGAAUAAUACACAGAAGAUUAACAUAGCUCCUGUACAAGAAUGAAACACAAAAAAUGAAUCAGCACCUACUAUGU
ensembl:snRNA U6 U6 spliceosomal RNA